rnacentral:lncRNA from 1 species
GGUCUACUACCUUCACCGCCACCACCCACCACGGUUCCUUCCACCAUUAAGCGGCUUUCCGCGGAGGAACUUGUUGUCCGCCGUGACAAGGGGUUAUGUUAUCAUUGUGAUGAGAAGUGGAUUCUCAGUCACCGUUGCCGCCCUCGCCUCCACUUACUCAUUGCAGACGAUGAUGAUGAUGAUUGCACAAAUCUUCCACCAACUAACCCACACUUGCACAACGAUGACCAUGGUGAUCCUCUGGAAUCACUUCA